rnacentral:sRNA from 1 species
UGAUCAUUGAGUCAUUUUGUUUAGAGUUCAUUUUUGUUUUUAAUAUUAAGUUCAUUUUGUUUCGGGAUUCUUCUGACAAGAGGUUUACACUUUGUUUGUCAUUUCACAUCGCGUUCAGGAAGCUAGAUUAUCUUAUCUUGCAACAAAGUCUAAGUGUAGAAACAGGCUUGACGCCAUUCAAGAUAUUAAAAAAGCUUCGUUGGCUUAGUGGUUGGUGUGUAUGCUUGAAGAGUCUGAGGAGGCAUAAACACACGAUUUCCAAUACAGGUAGCUAAGGAGACCGAACGAUGGAGAAGUACUCAAUGCUUCUAACUGCCACAGUGCUUGCAAUACUUGGAACAGCACUAGCAGACGACGGUGCAUGGAGCGUCCCUACAUGGAUCCCCAUUGUAGCAGGAGCUACUGUCUUAGUUCUUGUGUUUGCACUCUGUAUUUUUGGCGACAAAAAGAGUGAAUACGAUGGGGCGCGUCAAGAGAAGGGAGGAAUAGAGGGCAGACAGAAAUAAAAGAUCCUGCAUUGUGUAUCAAAACAUUAUCUAAUUAAUUUAUAUCAUUUCUGGCUUUAGAUGUAUGUGUGUUUAUUAAUAAUAGCCUUAACUAAAUAUUUUUAAUGUAAAGGAAAGAAUCGGACUGCAUGGGAUCUCAUUUAUUUUUCUUUAGUCUUUGAACUACAUUUGUGAUUUUAUAAGUGAUUUUGUUUAGCUAUUUGAUAAAGGUGUAUUCAUGGUGAGAAAGUCAAACAAAAACUAAUGUAUAAUUACGGGAUGCGUUCUGGACCUUCGACUCAAAGGUCUUGGGUUCAAACACUGCUCUUCGCCAUUCCUGACCAUCCGACGGUAGUGAUAGGAUGUAAUGAUAAUAUUCAAUUCUAAAUAAACACAGAAAACAUGUAAAACAAAACA